rnacentral:rRNA from 1 species
UACGUAGGGUGCAAGCGUUGUCCGGAAUUAUUGGGCGUAAAGAGCUCGUAGGCGGUCUGUCGCGUCGGCUGUGAAAACCUGGGGCUCAACUCCGGGCCUGCAGCCGAUACGGGCAGACUAGAGUUCGGCAGGGGAGACUGGAAUUCCUGGUGUAGCGGUGAAAUGCGCAGAUAUCAGGAGGAACACCGGUGGCGAAGGCGGGUCUCUGGGCCGAUACUGACGCUGAGGAGCGAAAGCGUGGGGAGCAAACAGG